rnacentral:rRNA from 1 species
UGCCAGCCGCCGCGGUAAUACGGAGGGUGCGAGCGUUAUCCGGAGUUACUGGGCGUAAAGCGCGUGCAGGCGGUUGAGUAAGUUACCUAUGAAAGCUCUUGGCUAAACUGAGAGAGGAUAGGUGAUACUGCUUAACUAGAGUGAGGGAGAGGGAAGUAGAAUUCCGGGUGUAGUGGUGAAAUGCGUAGAUAUCCGGAGGAAUACCAGUGGCGAAGGCGGCUUCCUGGUCCUCAACUGACGCUGAGGUGCGAAAGCGUGGGGAGCAAACAGGAUUAGAUA